rnacentral:rRNA from 1 species
CCCUUAGAUGUUCUGGGCCGCACACGCGCUACACUGACUGACUCAACGAGUUUACAACCUGUGCCGAAAGGUAUGGGUAAUCUUUUGAAAUUCAGUCGUGAUGGGGCUAGAUUAUUGCAACUAUUAAUCUUCAACGAGGAAUGCCUAGUAAGCGCGAAUCAUCAGUUCGCGUUGAUUACGUCCCUGCCCUUUGUACACACCGCCCGUCGCUCCUACCGAUUGAAUGGUCCGGUGAAAAUUUCGGACAGUGACGAUGCUGGCGGUCCGCCGCCGGCGCUGUCGCUGGAAGAUCUUUAAACCUUAUCAUUUAGAGGAAGGAGAAGUCGUAACA